GACGAACGCUGGCGGCGUGCUUAACACAUGCAAGUCGAACGGAAAGGCCCUGCUUUUGUGGGGUGCUCGAGUGGCGACCGGGUGAGUAACCCGUGAGUACCCUGCCCCUGACUUUGGGAUAACUUCAGGAAACUGGGGCUCAUACCGGCUAGGAGCUCCUGCUGCUUGGUGGGGGUUGGAAAGUUUCGGCGGUUGGGGAUGGACUCGCGCCCUAUCAGCUUGUUGGUGGGGUAGUGGCUUACCAAGGCUUUGACGGGUAGCCUGCCUGGGAGGGGGACCGGCCACAUUAGGACGGAGAUACGGCCCAGACUCCUCCGGGAGGCAGCAGAGGGGAAUAUAACAUUAGGGGCGGAAGCCUGAUGUAGCAACGCCGCGCGCGGGAUGACGGCCAGCGGUUUGUAUUCCGCUGUCGCCUGUGACGAAGCGUGAGUGACAGUAAUGGGUAAAGAAGCACCGGCUAACUACGUG
rnacentral:rRNA from 1 species